UGUUGCAGUGCUACAAAACUUAUAGCCUGGGCUGUAAUCUCAUCAGAUCUUACAAGUUGAACAGAACCAAGCUUGGUCAGUACUUGAAUGGAGACCUCCAAGGAAAAAACAAAAUACUGCACAAA
ensembl:rRNA 5S_rRNA 5S ribosomal RNA